rnacentral:rRNA from 1 species
UACGUAGGGUGCAGGCGUUAAUCGGAAUUACUGGGCGUAAAGCGUGCGUAGGCGGUCUUUUAAGUCAGAUGUGAAAUCCCCGGGCUUAACCUGGGAACUGCGUUUGAAACUGGAAGGCUAGAGUGUGGCAGAGGGGGGUGGAAUUCCACGUGUAGCAGUGAAAUGCGUAGAUAUGUGGAGGAACACCGAUGGCGAAGGCAGCCCCCUGGGCUAACACUGACGCUCAUGCACGAAAGCGUGGGGAGCAAACAGG